rnacentral:lncRNA from 1 species
GAAAAAAACAGGUAAACAUUAUUAAUUGGACUACUUAAAAAAAACAUCACAACACAUUGCCUCUCAAAACUCUUUAAUUUGGUUUAAGCUUUAAGUAUGUAAAGAUCCGUUCAAAUCACAGGCACUUUUCUACAUACUUCAAAUUGCUUUAAAAGCUUGUUCUCUUGGUUCCUGUUAGUGUCCUGGAGAAGCGAGUGGAGAACAUAGAAGGAAAGAGAAAUACUGAGCUAGAAAACCUCAAAGAGGAAAAGGAACAGCUCAAAAAACUGGUGGAAAAGCAGACUAACAUAAUGAAAGAGAUGGAGCAGCAACUGCUCCAAACCUCCUCUGAUAACUCUGCAAUGAAGCAGCAGCAGCAAGAACUGACAAAUACAGUCAACAACCUAAUCCACACAAUCUCUGUGGGUAAGUGACCAUCCGCUUGCAUCAGCAUUUCAACUGAAUUCGCACAUGGGACCUGGGGCAAAAUAAACACCCAAAACAAUAUUAUGCCAGCUCACCAGCAGCUGUUCAAAUGUUUGGGGAAAAAGUUCAACAGUAAAUCAGACAAAGACACAUAAAAACAUAAUCAUCACUAUGGUACAAUAAACAUACAAUAUAGUCAUAUUAGAAUAGUUUUAGUAAAAAAAAACUAUAAGGCACUAGUGAUCAUGAAAGUAUAUUAUUAAAACUUGACAGUAAUCUUACGGUCCAUACGGUGACAAACAGUAAGAAAAUGUGGGCACUGUGACAAAAAAUCCAAAAUGGUAUUGAGUCUAUAUAUACCAGUUUUUGUACCAAAACGGUAAACAUUAUAUAGCCAUGUAAUUAAAUCCAAUUUCUGACAUAGCCUACCAUCCAGUAUGCUCAACAAGACAUUUCUUUCAUCAGGUAGCAAUUCAAUGAUGCAGGACAACCCAGAUCAGUACAAUGACUGUGCUGCUGUCUUCAGUGUAGGGAACAAGGAAAGCGGGGUCGUUCUCAUUGACCAUACCCGAUACAAAACAGCAGUUCAAGGCCUACUGUGACAUGCAGACAGAUGGAGGUGGAUGGACAGUAAUACAAAAGCGCUUUAAUGGCCUUGUUGAUUUUCAUCAAACGUGGAAAAAUUACACAUCGGUAGGGAUUUAAUGGUGUUUACCUAAAUUCCCUACUUUAGACUUAUGUGUUGUCCAGAAGCUUGCAUCCUGCAAAGUGAAUGGUGCAUUAUAGUG